rnacentral:rRNA from 1 species
UUGACCUCGGAUCAGGUAGGAAGA